UACGUAGGGUGCGAGCGUUGUCCGGAAUUAUUGGGCGUAAAGGGCUCGUAGGCGGUUUGUCGCGUCGGGAGUGAAAACCUUGGGCUUAACUCAGGGCUUGCUUUCGAUACGGGCAGACUAGAGGUAUGCAGGGGAGAACGGAAUUCCUGGUGUAGCGGUGAAAUGCGCAGAUAUCAGGAGGAACACCGGUGGCGAAGGCGGUUCUCUGGGCAUGAUCUGACGCUGAGGAGCGAAAGCCAGGGGAGCAAACGGG
rnacentral:rRNA from 1 species